rnacentral:rRNA from 1 species
CAGUAGCCGCGGGAAUACGGAGGGUGCAAGCGUUAAUCGGAAUUACUGGGCGUAAAGCGCACGCAGGCGGUUUGUUAAGUCAGAUGUGAAAUCCUCGGGCUCAACCUGGGAACUGCAUUUGAAACUGGCAAGCUAGAGUCUCGUAGAGGGGGGUAGAAUUCCAGGUGUAGCGGUGAAAUGCGUAGAGAUCUGGAGGAAUACCGGUGGCGAAGGCGGCCCCCUGGACAAAGACUGACGCUCAGGUGCGAAAGCGUGGGGAGCAAACAGGAUUAGAUACCCCAGUAGUCCCUGUCUCUUAUAC